rnacentral:lncRNA from 1 species
CAGUCCGCCCUUGCAGCACCAACUUGAUUGUGCCAGGCCGUCCGCGUCUUCAGCGCAUCCCCACCACGCCUCACAGCCAUCCAGCCAAUUUCCCAAUCCUCCACGCCAUCAACGCAAUCGAAGCAACAUUUCUUCUCCCAGCAGCCGUCCGUUUCUUCUCGCAGCAGUCGUCCGUUUCUUCUCUACCAAGUUCCAGCUCCUUCUCGUGAAGCCAGCGAAUCCCAUAUGCAGCGUCCCAGCCGAUUCAAGGAGCCGCUUCAGCCGCCCGUGAUUCUCCACCAAAUCCCAGCAUCCCAGCCUCUUCUCCCGUCCGUAUUCAUCAUCCACGGAUCCGCUCCUCCCAGCACCGAUUUC